rnacentral:rRNA from 1 species
CCUACGGGGGGCUGCAGUGGGGAAUAUUGGACAAUGGGGGCAACCCUGAUCCAGCCAUGCCGCGUGUGUGAAGAAGGCCCUCGGGGUGUAAAGCACUUUCAGUGAGGAAGAACGCCUGGUGGUUAAUACCCAUCAGGAAAGACAUCACUCACAGAAGAAGCACCGGCUAACUCCGUGCCAGCAGCCGCGGUAAUACGGAGGGGGCGAGCGUUAAUCGGAAUUACUGGGCGUAAAGCGCGCGUAGGUGGCUUGAUAAGCCGGUUGUGAAAGCCCCGGGCUCAACCUGGGAACGGCAUCCGGAACUGUCAAGCUAGAGUGCAGGAGAGGAAGGUAGAAUUCCCGGUGUAGCGGUGAAAUGCGUAGAGAUCGGGAGGAAUACCAGUGGCGAAGGCGGCCUUCUGGACUGACACUGACACUGAGGUGCGAAAGCGUGGGUAGCAAACAGGAUUAGAUACCCCAGUAGUC